GAUGAACGCUGGCGGCGUGCCUAAUACAUGCAAGUCGAACGGACGGGCGCGACGCUUGCUUCUCUGAUGUUAGCGGCGGGCGGGUGAGUAACACGUGGAUCACCUCCCUAUCAUACUGGUAUCACUUCGGGAAACCGGAGCUUAUACCGUAUGAUCUUUUGCUCCGCAUUGUUCAAAAGUGAAAGACGGUCUUUCUGUCACGUAUCGAUGGAUAUGCGCUGCAUUAUCUAGUUGUUAAGGUAACGGCUUACCAAGGCAACGAUGCAUAGCCGAACGGAGGGGGUGAUCGGCCACACGGGAACGGAGACACGGACCAGAGGCCUACGGGAGGCAGCAGUAGGGAAUCUGCCGCAAAGGGCGAGAGCCUGACGGAGCAACGCCGCGUGAGAGAUGAAGGUCUUCGGAGCGUAAAACUCUGUUACGAGGUAAGAACAUAUUUGUAAGUAACCGUGCACAGCGUGACGGUACCUAAUCAGAAAGCAACGGCUAACUACGUG
rnacentral:rRNA from 1 species